rnacentral:rRNA from 1 species
CGCUGGCGGAAUGCUUUACACAUGCAAGUCGAGCGGCAGCGCGGGGCAACCUGGCGGCGAGCGGCGAACGGGUGAGUAAUGCAUCGGAACGUGUCCAUGUCGUGGGGGAUAGCCCGGCGAAAGCCGGAUUAAUACCGCAUACGCCCGAGAGGGGAAAGUGGGGGACCGCAAGGCCUCACGCGAUUGGUUCGGCCGAUGUCCGAUUAGCUAGUUGGCGGGGUAAAGGCCCACCAAGGCGAUGAUCGGUAGCUGGUCUGAGAGGAUGAUCAGCCACACUGGGACUGAGACACGGCCCAGACUCCUACGGGAGGCAGCAGUGGGGAAUUUUGGACAAUGGGGGCAACCCUGAUCCAGCCAUUCCGCGUGAGUGAAGAAGGCCUUCGGGUUGUAAAGCUCUUUUGUCCGGAACGAAACGGGUAGCGUGAAUAUCGCUGCCUACUGACGGUACCGGAAGAAUAAGCACCGGCUAACUACGUGCCAGCAGCCGCGGUAAUACGUAGGGUGCGAGCGUUAAUCGGAAUUACUGGGCGUAAAGCGUGCGCAGGCGGUUUUGUAAGCCAGAUGUGAAAUCCCCGGGCUUAACCUGGGAAUGGCAUUUGGGACUGCAAGGCUCGAGUGCGGCAGAGGAGACUGGAAUUCCUGGUGUAGCAGUGAAAUGCGUAGAUAUCAGGAGGAACACCGAUGGCGAAGGCAGGUCUCUGGGCUGACACUGACGCUCAUGCACGAAAGCGU